UAAGAAUUAUAGUUUAGUUUAAUUUUUCUGAUUAUUUUCUGCUUGUAAUUAUAUUCUGACCAGUUACAGCAGCAGGAAGCAACCAGCUGUUCUUUUCUCUGGGCUCAUUUCUCCUCAUGACUCCAUCAUGAAACAUUUUCAUCAGAACUUCUCUCCUGUCUCAUGAAGAUUUAUCAACCUGCCUCUGAUUUCACUGCAGACCUUCUACUUCCUGGUUCUGCUGCUCUGAAAGAAGAAACUACAAACCAGGUGUGGCAUUAGUCUGGUUCUCCUACGGUUCUGUUGGGCCUCAGUCUGUUGUUCAGAUGUUCUUCUUCAACUCUUUGGACAGUUUGAACAAACUGUGAAGGUAGAAAGUGUGUGUGAGCUGAUGUGAAUUCAGCAGCAUGGAUCAG